UAACAGACAUAUACCAGGAGCUGUGCCAGGUCUGUUGACUCAUCCAGCUGUAACAGACAUAUACCAGGAGCUGUGCCAGGUCUGUUGACUCAUCCAGCUGUAACAGACAUAUACCAGGAGCUGAGCCAGGCCUGUUGACUCAUCCAGCUGUAACAGACAUAUACCAGGAGCUGUGCCAGGCCUGUUGACUCAUCCAGCUGUAACAGACAUAUACCAGGAGCUGUGCCAGGUCUGUUGACUCAUCCAGCUGUAACAGACAUAUACCAGGAGCUGUGCCAGGCCUGUUGACUCAUCCAGCUGUAACAGACAUAUACCAGGAGCUGUGCCAGGUCUGUUGACUCAUCCAGCUGUAACAGACAUAUACCAGGAGCUGUGCCAGGUCUGUUGACUCAUCCAGCUGUAACAGACAUAUACCAGGAGCUGUGCCAGACCUGUUGACUCAUCCAGCUGUAACAGACAUAUACCAGGAGCUGUGCCAGGUCUGUUGACUCAUCCAGCUGUAACAGACAUAUACCAGGAGCUGUGCCAGACCUGUUGACUCAUCCAGCUGUAACAGACAUAUACCAGGAGCUGUGCCAGGUCUGUUGACUCAUCCAGCUGUAACAGACAUAUACCAGGAGCUGUGCCAGACCUGUUGACUCAUCCAGCUGUAACAGACAUAUACCAGGAGCUGUGCCAGGUCUGUUGACUCAUCCAGCUGUAACAGACAUAUACCAGGAGCUGUGCCAGGUCUGUUGACUCAUCCAGCUGUAACAGACAUAUACCAGGAGCUGUGCCAGGUCUGUUGACUCAUCCAGCUGUAACAGACAUAUACCAGGAGCUGUGCCAGGUCUGUUGACUCAUCCAGCUGUAACAGACAUAUACCAGGAGCUGUGCCAGGUCUGUUGACUCAUCCAGCUGUAACAGACAUAUACCAGGAGCUGUGCCAGGUCUGUUGACUCAUCCAGCUGUAACAGACAUAUACCAGGAGCUGUGCCAGGCCUGUUGACUCAUCCAGCUGUAACAGACAUAUACCAGGAGCUGUGCCAGGCCUGUUGACUCAUCCAGCUGUAACAGACAUAUACCAGGAGCUGUGCCAGGUCUGUUGACUCAUCCAGCUGUAACAGACAUAUACCAGGAGCUGUGCCAGGCCUGUUGACUCAUCCAGCUGUAACAGACAUAUACCAGGAGCUGUGCCAGGCCUGUUGACUCAUCCAGCUGUAACAGACAUAUACCAGGAGCUGUGCCAGGUGUCUGUUGACUCAUCCAGCUGUAACAGACAUAUACCAGGAGCUG